rnacentral:rRNA from 1 species
CAGCCGCCGCGGGAAUACGUAGGUGGCAAGCGUUGUCCGGAAUUAUUGGGCGUAAAGCGCGCGCAGGCGGAUCGGUCAGUCUGUCUUAAAAGUUCGGGGCUUAACCCCGUGAUGGGAUGGAAACUGCCAAUCUAGAGUAUCGGAGAGGAAAGUGGAAUUCCUAGUGUAGCGGUGAAAUGCGUAGAUAUUAGGAAGAACACCAGUGGCGAAGGCGACUUUCUGGACGAAAACUGACGCUGAGGCGCGAAAGCCAGGGGAGCGAACGGGAUUAGAUACCCCGGUAGUCCCUGUCUCUUAUACA